rnacentral:rRNA from 1 species
GGCCGCGGGAAUUCGAUUCAGGCCUAACACAUACAAGUCGUACGGGAGUUUUUAACUCUAGUGGCGGACGGGUGAGUAACACGUGAGAAUUUGCCUUUAGGAGGGGGAUAACAAUUGGAAACGAAUGCUAAUACCCCAUAUGCUUUUGAGUGAAAUGGAUUUAUCCGCCUAAAGAGAAGCUCGCGGCUGAUUAGCUUGUUGGUAAGGUAAGAGCUUACCAAGGCGACGAUCAGUAUCUGGUUUGAGAGGACGAUCAGACACACUGGAACUGAGACACGGUCCAGACUCCUACGGGAGGCAGCAGUGGGGAAUUUUCCGCAAUAGGGGAAAGCCUGUCGGAGCAAUACCGCGUGAGGCUUUUAUGGCUAUGGGUUGUAAACCUCUUUUUCAGGGAGGAAUCAAUG